rnacentral:rRNA from 1 species
GAUGAACGCUGGCGGCGUGCCUAAUACAUGCAAGUCGAGCGAACAGACGAGGAGCUUGCUCCUCUGACGUUAGCGGCGGACGGGUGAGUAACACGUGGAUAACCUACCUAUAAGACUGGGAUAACUUCGGGAAACCGGAGCUAAUACCGGAUAAUAUAUUGAACCGCAUGGUUCAAUAGUGAAAGACGGUUUUGCUGUCACUUAUAGAUGGAUCCGCGCCGCAUUAGCUAGUUGGUAAGGUAACGGCUUACCAAGGCAACGAUGCGUAGCCGACCUGAGAGGGUGAGCGGCCACACUGGAACUGAGACACGGUCCAGACUCAUACGGGAGGCAGCAGUAGGGAAUCUUCAGGAAUGGGCGAAAGACUGACGGAGAAACGCCGAGUGAGUGAUGAAGGUCUUCGGAUCGUAAAACUCUGUUAUUAGGGAAGAACAAAUGUGUAAGUAACUAUGCACGUCUUGACGGUACCUAAUCAGAAAGCCACGGCUAACUACGUG